rnacentral:piRNA from 1 species
UAUGGUUGGUCAUCGUCAUUGUC